AUUGAACGCUGGCGGCAGGCCUAACACAUGCAAGUCGAACGAGUGGCGGACGGGUGCGUAAUGUCUGGGAAACUGCCUGAUGGAGGGGGAUAACUCCUGGAAACGGUAGCUAAUACCGCAUACCAUCGGAUUUGCCCAGCUGGGAUUAGCUAGUAGGUGGGGUAAAGGCUCACCUAGGCGACGAUCCCUAGCUGGUCUGAGAGGAUGACAGGCCACACGGGAACUUAGACACGGUCCAGACUCCUACGGGAGGCAGCAGUGGGGAAUAUUGCACCAUGGGAGCAAGCCUGAUGCAGCCAUGCCGCGUGUAUGAAGAAGGCCUUCGGUUUGUAAAGUUAUUUCAGCGGGGAGGCGUUACCCACAGAAGAAGCACCGGCUAACUCCGUGCCAGCAGCCGCGGUAAUUC
rnacentral:rRNA from 1 species